rnacentral:rRNA from 1 species
AUAUCAGUCAUGCAUAGCAUAUCAAUAAGCGGAGGAAAAGAAACUAACAAGGAUUCCCUUAGUAACGGCGAGUGAAGCGGGAAGAGCUCAAAUUUGAAAUCUUCAAGGUUCUACCUUGACGAAUUGUAGUUUAAAGAAGUGUUUUCUGUUGAAGUUUUGGUAAAAGUUCUUUGGAAUAGGACAUCAUAGAGGGUGAGAAUCCCGUAUUUGACCAUUACUUUCAGCUUUGUGAUACACUUUCGAAGAGUCGGAUUGUUUGGGAAUGCAGUCCAAAAUGGGUGGUAAAUUUCAUCUAAAGCUAAAUAUUGGCGAGAGACCGAUAGCGAACAAGUACCGUGAGGGAAAGAUGAAAAGAACUUUGAAAAGAGAGUUAAACAGUACGUGAAAUUGUCAAAAGGGAAGCGUUUGUCACCAGUGUUGUUUUCUCGAAAAUCAAUUAAAAAGAGUUGGAUUUUGUGUUGUAUUGACUUUAUCAGCUUUCUUCACUCUUUUCCAGCUUUUUUUAAUGCACUUUUCGUUUAACAAGUCAACAUCAGUUUCUUUUGUUGUAAAAAGGUCAUUGGAAGGUGGCUUUCUCUUCGGAGAAAGUGUUUAUAGCCUUUGACUCAUGCAAUCGGAGAGACUGAGGUCUGCAGCGUAGAUCCUUCGGGGUUAGAUACAUUUGUGCUAAGUUAUAGCUUUUCAUAGACAACUUGUUGACUAUGUUUAGUCUUGUAGCUUACUCGCUUAUGCUAUUUUACCUACGCUUAGGAUGUUGAACUCUAUCACACACAG